rnacentral:rRNA from 1 species
AUUGAACGCUGGCGGCGGGCCUAACACAUGCAAGUCGAGCGGUAGCACAGGGAGCUUGCUCCUGGGUGACGAGCGGCGGACGGGUGAGUAAUGUCUGGGAAACUGCCUGAUGGAGGGGGAUAACUACUGGAAACGGUAGCUAAUACCGCAUAACGUCGCAAGACCAAAGAGGGGGACCUUCGGGCCUCUUGCCAUCAGAUGUGCCCGGAUGGGAUUAGCUAGUAGGUGGGGUAACGGCUCACCUAGGCGACGAUCCCUAGCUGGUCUGAGAGGAUGACCAGCCACACUGGAACUGAGACACGGUCCAGACUCCUACGGGAGGCAGCAGUGGGGAAUAUUGCACAAUGGGCGCAAGCCUGAUGCAGCCAUGCCGCGUGUAUGAAGAAGGCCUUCGGGUUGUAAAGUACUUUCAGCGGGGAGGAAGGCGAUAAGGUUAAUAACCUUGUCGAUUGACGUUACCCGCAGAAGAAGCACCGGCUAACUCCGUGCCAGCAGCCGCAGUAA